CCUACGGGAGGCAGCAGUGGGGAAUAUUGCACAAUGGGCGAAAGCCUGAUGCAGCAACGCCGCGUGAAGGAAGAAGGGUUUCGGCUCGUAAACUUCUAUCAACAGGGACGAAAGAAAUGACGGUACCUGAGUAAGAAGCACCGGCUAAAUACGUGCCAGCAGCCGCGGUAAUACGUAUGGUGCAAGCGUUAUCCGGAUUUACUGGGUGUAAAGGGAGCGCAGGCGGCACGGCAAGCCUGAUGUGAAAGCCCGCGGCCCAACCGCGGGACUGCAUUGGGAACUACCGGGCUGGAGUGCCGGAGAGGUAGGCGGAAUUCCUAGUGUAGCGGUGAAAUGCGUAGAUAUUAGGAGGAACACCAGUGGCGAAGGCGGCCUACUGGACGGUGACUGACGCUGAGGCUCGAAAGCGUGGGGAGCAAACAGGAUUAGAUACCCUUGUAGUC
rnacentral:rRNA from 1 species